rnacentral:lncRNA from 1 species
CGGAAGUCUCAGGCUCUACUGUCUUCUAGAAGCCAGGCAGGGUUUGCUCAUAAAGACUAAAGCUAACACUUCACUGAAUUUGCCCCAUGUGGUCAGAGAGGGAGGAAAACUGCCUUGGCACACCAAGGGGUCUUUCUGCCUGUUGAAUAGUCCCCAAGACCUCCAUGCAGCUCCAUGAGCUAUAAUGCAUACACUUACGGGGUAGGCACCAGCGCAAGCCCAUUGGCCCAGAGUGGACAGGAGGCUCCGCCCAGGAAGCUGUCUCACUCCUGCUGCAGUAAAGUCAGGCGGAGCUGAACCGUAGGCUCAACUACAGUUUUUGCAGCCGUGAGUAGCUCUGCCUUCUGCCUGGUGAAUUCUGUUCUUUCCUUUACUUUAAGCAUUGUAGCACUGACGGUAGAUUUGGAGGCCCUGUCCCAUGGCUCUUCCUCAUCAGAUACGGAGACACUGGUGCUGGACGUCUCCUGGCAGCACCAGAGAAGUCUCCAUUGCCUGCUUUAUGGUAUUUCCUGGUUAAUCGGAGGGGUAAUGCUUACAUUCGUUCCCGCUCUUAGUAUCUGUGGUCAGUUACCUCAUGAUGUAGCGUUGUACUUGGUUCCCUGUCAAAAAAAAAAAAAAAAAA